UACGAAGGGGGCUAGCGUUGCUCGGAAUCACUGGGCGUAAAGCGCACGUAGGCGGCUUUUUAAGUCAGAGGUGAAAUCCUGGAGCUCAACUCCAGAACUGCCUUUGAUACUGGAGAGCUUGAGUCCGGGAGAGGUGAGUGGAACUGCGAGUGUAGAGGUGAAAUUCGUAGAUAUUCGCAAGAACACCGGUGGCGAAGGCGGGUCUCUGGGCCGAUACUGACGCUGAGGAGCGAAAGCGUGGGGAGCGAACAGG
rnacentral:rRNA from 1 species